rnacentral:lncRNA from 1 species
CUAGGAACACACAUGGAUCCCUUCUUCACCAUGCUAUCCAUGUAUCGUUGUAUGGCAGGUGAUGAAUUCCAUCUGUGCCACUCCCCUCCCACAGCUGAUCAGGUUCAGCGGCGAUGGGGGGGGUGGCAGCAAGUUUGACUCCCAUCUUCUCAGGUGGCUGCUUCACCCACAAUGCACUGUCCACCCAGCCAGCUCCCCGUCAAGCAAACCUCCUUCCCAUUGCAGCUUGCCCAUCCAUAAAAAGAUGCCUGAACUGGUUGUGUUCCCAAAUCCCUUCCUGCUCUAUGCUCCUGAGUUGACAACUGCAUACACAAGUGGGGCUGCUGUGAGAAUAGCUGCAUGCCUUUCAGUCCCAAAUGAAGCAGAGCUCAGCAGACUCCUGAAGAAAAGCAGGCCACUGUGUGGAUCAUGAUAGAAGAUUCAGGAAAUGAAGAUACACCCAGAAGGAUCAUCCACAUCGAUGGGCUCAUCAGACAUACUUUUUAAAUAAAACACUGGUUCACUCAAGAUUUAACUCAAAAUUUAACACAUAGGUUAUAUCACAUUUUACUUUAAGAAAAUAUUCUUCCCUUGCUACAUGCUGAGUUAUUUGAUAGUAGACAAUGCCGCAUUCAUCUUGGUGUCCCUGAAAUUUAGCACAGUAUUUGACACAUAGCAGAAGUUUCAGUACAUAGUACACUAAACAGAAAUGUGGCCUUUCGGUUGGUAUAGGGUAGAGACAUCUGGACAAGCCUAUAAUGACUUCUACUUUCUCUGGUCUUCUGCUGUUCUGGAAAAAAAAAUCUUCCUCUGCUCCACAGGGAGCAUCACAGGGAG